rnacentral:rRNA from 1 species
CCUACGGGCGGCUGCAGUGGGGAAUAUUGGACAAUGGGGGGAACCCUGAUCCAGCCAUGCCGCGUGUGUGAAGAAGGCCCUCGGGUUGUAAAGCACUUUCAGUGAGGAAGAACGCCUGGUGGUUAAUACCCAUCAGGAAAGACAUCACUCACAGAAGAAGCACCGGCUAACUCCGUGCCAGCAGCCGCGGUAAUACGGAGGGUGCGAGCGUUAAUCGGAAUUACUGGGCGUAAAGCGCGCGUAGGUGGCUUGAUAAGCCGGUUGUGAAAGCCCCGGGCUCAACCUGGGAACGGCAUCCGGAACUGUCAAGCUAGAGUACAGGAGAGGAAGGUAGAAUUCCCGGUGUAGCGGUGAAAUGCGUAGAGAUCGGGAGGAAUACCAGUGGCGAAGGCGGCCUUCUGGACUGACACUGACACUGAGGUGCGAAAGCGUGGGUAGCAAACAGGAUUAGAUACCCCGGUAGUC